rnacentral:rRNA from 1 species
GAUGAACGCUGGCUACAGGCUUAACACAUGCAAGUCGAGGGGAAACGACGGGGAAGCUUGCUUCCCCGGGCGUCGACCGGCGCACGGGUGAGUAACGCGUAUCCAACCUGCCUCUGACUGAGGGAUAACCCGUCGAAAGUCGGCCUAAUACCUCAUGGCAUCGUCUGCGGGCAUCCAACGACGAUUAAAGAUUUCAUCGGUCAGAGAUGGGGAUGCGUCUGAUUAGCUUGUUGGCGGGGUAACGGCCCACCAAGGCGACGAUCAGUAGGGGUUCUGAGAGGAAGGUCCCCCACAUUGGAACUGAGACACGGUCCAAACUCCUACGGGAGGCAGCAGUGAGGAAUAUGGGUCAAUGGGCGAGAGCCUGAACCAGCCAAGUAGCGUGCAGGAUGACGGCCCUAUGGGUUGUAAACUGCUUUUAUGCGGGGAUAAAGUGAGGGACGUGUCCUUCAUUGCAGGUACCGCAUGAAUAAGGACCGGCUAAUUCCGUG